GUUACAACCUCCCACCCCUGUGGCACCCCACCUCCGACGCCCCACCUCCUCCACCCCCGCGGCGCCCCGGCCCGGCCACAAUCCCGCGCCGCCCCACCUUACCUCCGUCCAGCCUUGUGGCGCUCCAGUGGAACCCCGCCCCACUGCCUCCCCGCCGGCCCAGAUUCGUGGCUGCGCCGGCUCCUGUUUCAUCUCUUCCCGACGCCAAUUCCAACCACCAUCCCUCCUCGGCCUACCUGCCCCCUCGUCGACCAGCCACCGGAUUCACCCGUCACCGUCCUUUCGCGUGUGGCCGGCGUUGGAUCUGCUUGCCGCCGCCCCCUGCAAACCACCGGGUCGAGGGGCAGCUGGAUCCGCCCCGUCCCCGUUCUCCCACGGCUGCCCGGCGCCGGAUCCGCGUCUUGUCUCCCCCCACCCUUAGGGGCGUCCUCCCUGUCCCCAUGUCGAGGGGAACUUGUCUUCAACGAUUUGAGGGGGGCGGGGGCGGCGAGCUUGCGGGUCGCCGGUGACUCUCCCCUCCCCAUCCCUCUACCUCCUCCCUCCCAUCCUGCUACAUCCCACCUCGUUCUUCUUCCUCUCCGACCGCGACGCAAAUCCCUGGCCCUAGUUCUUCUUCCUCUCCAAUCGUGAGAUGCAGACCGGGGCGUUGAUGUUGCAGUGCGGUUCAUUGGGCGACGAUGCUAUUUUUGUAUUCUGUUCAUUGGCCGCGUUCUUUGCUCUAUGUGCAGCUUUGGUCGCUCGGCGGUGCAUUUUCAGUGGUUACGCAGUGCGGGAUGUGCACACAUGAAGCUCGGUCAAAUCCAAAAAACUACCCAACAAUGGAGUAGUCCAGCGGCAUGUUUGUGUGUGUUUCAGAUUUUGUUUUGUUUGAAGUUUAGUAAGCUUUUACUUUCAAAAAAUAUGUGUUCGUUAUGUUGCAGUGUAGCCGUCGCUCGUUUGUAUCUCGUGCGGAGUUCGCUAGUGAUCCUGUAUGUGCCUAUCAGAAGUUCGUUUCUGCUAGGAUGGCAUUCAUUUUGUCAAGCAUAUUUUUGACCUAUAUCUUUGUGGGGUAUUCUUGUUGUAUGUGUAUGUGAUUCUC
rnacentral:rRNA from 1 species